rnacentral:rRNA from 1 species
AUUGAACGCUGGCGGCAUGCCUUACACAUGCAAGUCGAACGGCAGCGGGCCUUCGGGUGCCGGCGAGUGGCGAACGGGUGAGUAAUGCAUCGGAACGUGCCAUUGAGUGGGGGAUAACGUAGCGAAAGUUGCGCUAAUACCGCAUAUUCUGUGAGCAGGAAAGCAGGGGACCGCAAGGCCUUGCGCUCUUUGAGCGGCCGAUGUCAGAUUAGCUAGUUGGUGAGGUAGAGGCUUACCAAGGCGACGAUCUGUAGCGGGUCUGAGAGGAUGAUCCGCCACACUGGAACUGAGACACGGUCCAGACUCCUACGGGAGGCAGCAGUGGGGAAUUUUGGACAAUGGGGGCGAACCCUGAUCCAGCCAUGCCGCGUGAGUGAAGAAGGCC